GGGUGCUGGAGUUGCCACUUAGAGCCUUUUGAGCAAUUGCCAUAAGUGAAGGUUUUUGUGGAGACCAUGGUCCCUAUUAGUGCCAUGCAAGAAUCUUAUUUUUGUUAUUAAGAUUUGUGGAAUAUCCCCUGUUGAAAAAGAAUUGGAAACAGGUGGGACAGAAGUCCACGACCUGUCCAGGGAUUUGCAAGCAACAUUUGGACAUUCAUAUUUCAUUGAAGAAAAUUUCACUGAAGAAAUCACUACAUGAAGAAGACAUUCUCAUGUUGGACUAUUUCCAUAUGUAUCUACUCUAAGGACUUUAUUAGGGACUUAGGUUUCUUUGUGUUUAUGGUUAAUAAUACAUUUGUUAGUUAAUUGUCACUAUAA